rnacentral:rRNA from 1 species
UGGGGAAUUUUGCGCAAUGGGGGAAACCCUGACGCAGCAACGCCGCGUGAGUGAUGAAGGCCUUCGGGUCGUAAAGCUCUGUCCGAGGGGAAGAAAUGCAGGGGUGCUAAUAUCAUCUUUGCUUGACGGUACCCUCAAAGGAAGCACCGGCUAACUCCGUGCCAGCAGCCGCGGUAAUACGGAGGGUGCGAGCGUUGUUCGGAAUUAUUGUGCGUAAAGCGCGUGUAGGCGGUUUGGUAAGUCUGAUGUGAAAGCCCCGGGCUCAACCUGGGAAGUGCAUUGGAGACUGUCAGACUUGAAUACGGGAGAGGGUAGUGGAAUUCCUCGUGUAGGAGUGAAAUCCGUGGAUAUUAGGAGGAACACCGGUGGCGAAGGCGGCUACCUGGACCGAUAUUGACGCUGAGACGCGAAAGCGUGGGGAGCAAACAG